AUUKCUCUAUUUGAUAGCUGUCAAAGGGAGGAUGUGGUUUGUUAAAAUUGAAAAUUUAGUCUGUGUCUUUCCUAUUCUGUGGUCUUCCAGGAGGACUGCAUACGGUUUUUCUUCGAGCUUCAGGAGCUACGGGAUGGAGAUAAGUGCUACUGUGAAAGGUGUGGAGAGAAGACGCCAUCCAAACAGGGCUUCAAACUCAUCUCCCUGCCCCCUGUCUUGUGUCUUCACCUGAAGAGAUUCCGACAUUCCCAUGGUUACACCAGGAAACUACACYKCAAAGUCACCUUCCCAGAAACCCUGAACAUUUCUGAGAUCUUGACAGCAGGGGCACUGUCAGAACGUUAUGUACAGAGUGACAGCCAGUACAGUUUGUGUGCAGUCAUAGUGCACUCCGGCGAUGCCAUGUUUGGACACUACACAGCAUACGUUCGUCACAAGGACCAGAGCUGGUACUACGCUAAUGAUCGUUAUGUACGGCAGGUUAGCUGGAAGGAAGUACAGAACACCUAUGGAGGAAGUCUGAGAGAGACAGCAUAUAUGCUGCUCUACAGACGAACCCCAGAGGGAAAGCAACAGGAGUGGUCCUCAGGCCGACGGAGCUAAAGGGAUAAAGGGUGGAGACUGGAGACUGUAGGAAUCAAGGACCAAACACAAAGUGCACAACUACCUAUUGGAGGGGUUGUUGUCUUCAUUUAGCAUYGGGGAUGUCCUUUAUCUUGAUGAUUUUCACUUUAAAAUGAUGGGUAAUGGGUCAUUGUUUAUGUGCAAUUACAUGGAUUUGUUUAAGUAUAUUUGGUGUGGUGUGUAUAUGUUUUGAGGUUUUGUUUAUGCUGGAUACAUUGGACAUUCAUAGGCCAUUACUGAGUUUAGCCAAUAGGUGGAGGCAAAGACCCUUCACCCUGUCAUUAGUACAGUCAUCUUGUAAGCUCCAGAGACCACACGUUCUGAAACCGUUCUGAAACUACUAUAAGACGGGUGGUUUGAAGAGAGUGCUGAGUUGAGGUAUUCUGGGGGAAAACCUGAAAAAGGCCAUUGACUCAUUGGUGAUAAUAUUUGCCUGACAUGGAAAACAUGUGACUCACCUUGUUUCAGAACAAUUGGUUUAUACAGUAGUUACCGGUACUCUGUUCUGUUUCGAUUUCAYUACAGAUAUAAUGCUGUCAACAGAGAAAUAAACGGUCAUUUUCCCAGCUAGCACCUGAAAAUG